rnacentral:lncRNA from 1 species
GGGGCGGGGGCGGAGUCGCCAUCUUGGACUCGGUUCGACCAGGUCUGGUGACCGGCGACGAGGGGCCGGGCUCGGCGCCGGGGGUCGGGGAAAGAAGAACUAGGUCUGGCAGUAGAUCAGAAUCUACCUGUUGGGGAAAACCAGAAAUAGGAAGAAGAGUUAUUAAUGGUUCAUUCUUGGCUGAGAAGAAUUCAGUAUGGAAUAAUUAAGAACUACUAUCAAUGCCUUUUACAAAAUGAGGUCAUUGGAUUGCAGAGUUGGCUUUCGAGAAGAUUUUGUGGCCUUUCUCAGCUGUCUAGGUGCUGUAGGUGCUGUGUUUCUAUGGCUGCAAGGAUGAAGCAAGACUGACCCCUCUUCUUCCUCCUCCUUUUCAACCUACUUAACAAGAAGAUGAUGAGGAUGAAGACCUUUAUGAAGAUCCACUUCCACUUAAUGAAUAGUACGUAUAUUGUUUUCCUUAUGAUUUUCUUCAUAAUGUGUUCUCUCUAACUUAAUUAUAAGAAUUCAGUAUAUAAUACACACAAAA